GGUGCCAUGGUUUAAUGAAUAAAAUGCCUGCCUAGCAAACAUGAAGCCCUGAGUUCAAACCUCAGUAACAUUA
rnacentral:tRNA from 1 species